GCAGUCAUCUUCCUCAGCAGCAAACCCUCUGUCUGCCCUUGGAAAUACUCCAUUAACACUAUCUCUUGGGGGGCUUUCCAAGAAAAAAUCUUCCCGUUCAAAACCAUCCAUACAUUCUAAGUCACAAAUAAUUUUGUUUCUGUCUGUAGUAUUAGGGAAGAGCCUGAAGAUUUUGUCUUCAAUCGUAUGUUUCUCUCUCCACUGAUCAAAUGUGAUUGGCCAUGUUGAUAUCCUCCUGAUUUCUUUCCUAAGGCCUCGACCCAUGUUAUCACCAUGAUGAUCCUCUGGGCACCCAGGACUACAGUUGACUGGGUUGGUGCCAAUGCUGAGAUAAGGAAACUGAGCUACCCAGAGGAAACCUACAUGGGCACAGGGAGAACAAGCAAACUCCACAAAGAAAGGCCCAGGACUUUUUUGUUGUGAGGCAACCGUGCUACCCACUGCACCACCGUGCCACCACAGCAACUCCACCAUACCACCCCUGCACCACCGUGCUACCUUUUGUACGUGCCAUCUCUGUGUUGGCGUGUCUGUGUAGGUAGAAAUUUUGCAUAUGCAUGGUGAGUGACAGUCGUGUGGUUAAUAGCCUCUUGCAGGUUCGUGUCUGCUGAUACGAUAUCAUUUUGGCCGUGUGGACCCUCACAGAUGUGUCAAGCAUAAAUCAGGCUUAAGGCUGUCACUUUUUUCAAAUAAUGAUUUUGGAAGAAUCCCAUAAAUAAUAUAAAUUAUUUCAAAUGUGUACCAUCAGAUAUUCAAUGAAAUAAUGCUUAAAUGCAAUGUAACUAAGAAAUAAUGACAACACUAGGUGAAUCGGCACAAUUUUAACUAGUCACAAUUGUAACAAACCCAUUUUCUCACACAGCUUUGUAAGAACAGAUAUGAAAAUGCAUUUUUGCACUGUGCUGUCUUCUGACUGACAUCCAAGAUUCAGCUCUCUCUCUCUAGGUCGUCCUCAGACGAGCCCUCCAGUGGCGUUUCCAGUCAUCUCGAUCCUCCAUGCAUCUGGCUAGCUCGCCAGUACUUUCCGCCCCUGCAUCUUCUUUUAGUACGUCCACUUACGUUGUUGUGGGAUGCCCUCGUGAUCGAUGCCCGUGUGUUGGCUCCCACAGCACCAGUUUGCUGGCUGGGAGCUCCCGGUGUCUCUGGCAGUGACCGGCCAGCCUCAUUCUCCUGGAUGCUAUUUUCUCACUCACCCUUGGUAGCCCCCCAUACAGAUCCUUGAUGGUAAUAUGUUCGUUCUGGUUGAUGUUCAGUACUACACGCAGUACUACAGUACUUCUCUCUGAAACUCUGUGCAGGUUAUUUAAAAAAAAACAACAACAAAAAAAAAAACAGUUUAAACCGAGGUAAGUAAAUUUAUGAAUCAGAAGAGUUUUUUUAAUUUGGUCGUUCAUGUUUGUGCUCAUUAAACCAAAAUAAAAACUAUUUUGAUUCAUUUAUCUCCUGUUACCAAGUCAGAAUCUGUUUGAAUUGUAUUGUUUAAACAAAGGCAUUGCUAAAUAAGGAAACAGCAAGUCUAUCCCCAUGUGACACAGUUGUAACAUCUGUCCAUUGUUACGACCCCUAUAAGACUAGCUCUUCAAACUCAUGCUUGGUGUGUUGUGGAUAGGGACUGCUUCACUUGACUUAAGCCACGUUUCCACCCAAGGUACCCAGAACUUUUAGUCCCAGGAACUACUUUUCAAGGAACUAAAAGGUUCCUUCAGCCCAUUGUUGUCUACGUUUCCACCGCGAUCUAAAGACCCACGAAGAUUAGGCAAAUUAGUCAACUGACGUAUGAAAAAGCGUCGUCGUCGUCGGUCUAUCUAUCGUAUGAUUUCUUCUGUAACCCAAUACUACCAGAGAAAGUAGCCUACAUUAUUUUCUAAUAACCGGGACAGCCCGGAGGGGUUUAUUCCACUUACACAACAGGUUACCAACAAUGACUAUAUAUGGUUACUUUAGUAUGUAUUGAUUUUUAUCGACUUAAUCACCUGAAAUUGAAAUAUUCUUCCGCGGCCGUUUGGGCAUAUUUUAUAUUACUGUUGUCAAGCAAAACUCUAGUUGGUAGUCGACUUGGACCGUUGUUAUGCAACAAAUAGGAUAUAACAGGCCAAUAGUCAGAUUGUAACUGUUUUAUAUAUCCUCUCAAACACAUUCAUUAUGUUUUUAUGCGAACAUUCACUGUCAUGUCUUGACAUCCCAGGCGACAGAAUGCAUUUUCAUUCCACAAAUAACAACAGCAGAAAACAUGCAUACGUCGUAAACAAUUUGCUGUUGAAUUGAUUACUUCGACUCUCAUCGUCAAUUCCAUAUAGGCUAAUCGCAAAAUGACAAGAAUAAAUAGAAUGAAAACUUGGACUUGCGUGAAAAUUUUAAUUAAUAUUGCAGUGGUACAGCCACCGUUUCCUUUCCUUCAAAGUUACUGCUAACGGAGCAGCGAAGUGUGCCCUCCAGAUGCGAACUAUGCACCAUAAAUUAGUCCAUAGUCUUCCUGGUCUUUUUGUGGAAUUGAAGAAUUGCAGAGUAAAAUUAUGGCAGUCUGAAAAAGCAAAAGGGACGAUUACUAGAAUUAACCUGUUAUUUCACCCUGACAAAAACUGCGGAAGGUGAUUUCCAGUUUGCUUUUACUGUAUCACCAAUGUAAAUUACGCAGAACUACUGCAUACCUCACAUAACUGUAUGAAACGUUUUCAGUCAAUUAUAACGGGCUAACAAAGAAUCCGGAAGAAAAUAUUCAGCAACCGAAUUAAACCGUUUGAAUGUUUUGGUACGUAAUAUGCUGUCCCAGCACGAAUGCUUAAAAUUUUAUAAAACGAAUACUAAAGCAAGAAAAGAACAGAAGAGCACACGUUAUAAUCCUCAAUCUUAAUUUCUCAUCUGUUCCAAGACGUUGGCAGGCUAUAACCAAAAGUAGGCUACUGCGCCGCAUAACAUACAAGUUUGAAUUCAAGUUA